UUUUUUUUUUUUUUUAAAGACCUUGCUCACAGAUUCAUGAAUAAUUGUUAUGAUGUUGGCUUGGAGUUUCAACAAGAAGCUGAUAAAUCUACGCCCACAGCAGAUGGGUUUUGAAUGCAGAAAACUAAUGAUAGAUUAAUAGAAUCUCCACUUUAGUGUCAAUUAAUCUACUUAUAUAUGUGGACUUGUCAGUUUCUCUUGUUAAUGGGAAUAUUCAUAUGUGAAUUUGCUAGGUUUUUUUUUUUUUUUUUCUUUGUAGUGGGAGUGAAACAAUCCAGACUAAGGUCUUGAUAUGUCAUUAGAAAUGUAAACUGAAUGAGUUCCAAUUGUUGGAGAAAUAAAGGAGAUAGUAAUAAAUUAAAGGAUUCCAAGUUCAUAGGCUGUAAAGAGCCAAUAUUCACCUCUAAUUUUUACGUUUAAAAUUUAGUAAUUAACUUUCCAUUCUCUCCCUCUUCCUGUCUCUCUUUCUCUCUUGUCUGUUUUAUCCACUUUGAAAUCUUAAUUUUGUUCUUGCUAAUAAUGAAGUGGUUGGUGACUGGCUGAAUUUGUUGAUCAGUACAAUUUUAUCUUGUAGGGCAUUUGACAAAUGAUAUGAGACUAUGUUAACAAAAUUCACCUGUAUUGUUUGAUGUAUUCUCAAAUUACAUGUCCAAAAUUUUUUCCUUCAUUGCAGUUUGCUCUGACAGAUUGUGUUUAGGCAUUUCUUUUUGACCAGGAAAUGGAACUCAUAUUAAGCAAGGUGCUGUCCUUUGGUAUAAUGCAUAAGGAUGCCUCUAGAGUCUAGACGUAGUUGUGCUCAAUAAUUUUGUGGUAUGAAGAUGCAUAAAAAUGCUGAGUGGUCACUGGCUUGUUGAGCCAUUAUGCCUUUCAAAUUGCAGUAAAACUAAAGUCUGUAAGACGUAGUCAAGGUUCUGGUGAAGGGGCUGCAUGUCUUGUGGCCUUUAAGAGCAAGGAGGUUGAGGGCUCAAAUUCAACUGCCAAGUUUCCAUCCUGGCACUGUUCCCAAAAAGUUUUAUGAUUUUGGAUUCUACCGGAGACUCACAUAUCUUGUGUCUGUCUUACCCUGUUGGUGGAUCAAAUAUCAGAUCUCACAUUAUGCAUUUGCCUGACAGAAUGAAAAUGCAAAAGCUGGCCAUUCUUCCUGAUAUUUCUUCAAGCAGUUCUUAUUCCCUCAAUGUAAAUCUUUCACUUGCUUACGUAUUAAAUAAUGGUGUGAUCAAGGCCUAUCUUGUUGCAUAUUUAGCAAAAUGUUUUAGGACUUGCCCAAUCUGUGUGUUAGGCUUCUGGGUGUCAUUGAUUGAGAAAGAAAAUGGCAAUGAAGCUUCAUGUCAAGUUAAAUAAAAAUGAAUUUUCAGAUUAGCAAAUGGAAGCUUUCAAGUUACUUGAUUAUGCUGCCACAUUUAAUGCUGUUUUAACUUCUGCCCUUGGAAAAAGCAUGUGUUGUCAUUAAUUGAAUUAACCUGCCAUGAUACCAUCAUUAUGCCGAAAUUCAGACUUUCUGGAUAUCAGAUGGAUUCCAUUCGGUGCACAUGAUAACAGCUUCUGAAAUGGAUUCUGUUAUUAAAAAUGAUGGAGAUGAGAGUCAGGAAAAAUUGUUUCAAAUCUCAGGUCUCAUUGAGCUCCCUUCUUCUUUUGCUGCUUCAAUUUAUUAUAAAUCAUAACUUUGUGUUCUGUUGCUUUGUCAUCAUUGAACAACACUUGCACAUCACCAUCUACCAUAUGAAAUUUUGUCCAAUGUACACUUUGCAACUUUUUCCACUUUUUCCCCAUGAAUGUUUAGUGAUUUGUAUUCUGGCAUAAAUUCUGUUUUUCUUUCUUUCUUUCUUUCUUUCACUAGUUAUUCAAGCAAUUUUUGCUGGUGAAAGGAUACAUGAUCUUGUUACAUUGGCUGCAACUGCUUUUCUGAUUCUUGGACAAGGUAAUCUUUAUCUUUCUUCAUUCUAGAUGUAAGGAUAUAUUUACUUCUUAAAAGAAUCAAUCAAGGAAUAUGGAAAGGAAAAACUGAAUGAAGUAUAAUGUUAUUUUGUGCCUUGUGAUUGAUAACCUAACACAGUAGUAGUUUACCUCAUACUCUUUGAUAGCAAUUUAGAGUCAUUAGAUUCAAAAAAUUGCCUAAAAAGAUUAUAUAUUUUAUUCAUGUACAACUACUGAAGUAUUAUUUAAAUUUCUGUUGGCCCACAUUGCCACAUUGGUUUGUCCAAAUGAUGAAUAGACUGGAAAGAUAAAAAGCUUUUCUGACAUGUAAUUCAUUUUUUUGGAAACUAAAAGUAACUGGAUGAAAUUUAUUAUUUUUUUUCCUUCAUUGCUUAAGACCACUUUAUUGUAUCUAAAAUUCUCUUGACGAUGUUUUUACAUGUUAAGCAGGAAAUGUAUAUGCCUGUGCAAUUCGCUGAAGUUACUUGGAGUAUCUCUUCAUUAACGUUGAGAAUUUAAUAUUUCAUUUAUCAUCGCAAACAUAAAUCUUGGUUCCUUGGUUCCGUAUUUUAAUAAUCUUAGUCUCGUGGGAAGUCUAUGUUAGGGUCGUAUUAGAUGAUAUAUGGAUUCCUGGAUCAAUGUUCUCACUCGGGGAGUACUUUUGAACUGUUUCAUUUAAAAAAAAAAAAGGUAAAUUUCUAUUAAAUGUAUAAUCAAAGCUCUCACACGGUGAGUAUUUUUGAACCAUUUUCAUUUAAUAGCGAUGAGAUCUGAGUCAUAUAUCCUGAAUUUCACUUGACCAUAUCUGUCUAAUUAUCAUGGUAUUUAUUGUCCUUAUGUUGCUGAAUUCAUAAGCUGCUGUUAUUUUAACUCGUAGUGGUGCAAGAGACCUGGAGAACACUGAGCUCUUGAAGGUAUGCAAUCAUAACUUUUCUUUUCAGUUAUAUUUGUCGUAACUUAAAUGUAUGAACUACUUAAAAAAGCAAGGGAAAAAAAAGUGAUUGAAGGAAAUUCCUUACAAUCUUGUUUUAAAGCUCGAACAGCUUUUUACAAGAACAAUUUAUUUGCUUUUAAGCCUAAAAAUUUCUAUGGCCUGAUACCUCAUUUAAAAGCCAGUUACACCAUUGCUGCCCUGUGCACAAACUAACUUUGAGUUGGCAUAUAUUUUAGAAUGUGACAUUUGUUAAUUCCUUCUUAACAAGUGAAGUGCAAAAAAGUUUUUGCCUUUCUUUAAUUAUUUUUUAACUGGGUCACUGGGUCACUGCAUAAAAUAACCGUUCUUAGUAUUGGUUGUUGAGAGCUGGGCAAGUCUAUUCAACAACUUGAAGCCACUUGUACUGUACAGCCAGCUUCCAUGAGUUGAAGAACAUUUGCUGGCCCUUGCAUGCAGAAUUCACUUUAUGUCUCAUUUUACUGAUUAGAGGACCCAACCAGCUGUGAAGGUCAGGAAGAUGUGACAAGUUGAAUGGAUUUAGUGUUGCGAGACACAGGAUUCUGUUGUUUAACUGUCAACAUGAGGGUUUAUUGCAAACAUGCACAUGUAGCUUGGUUUGUUUAAUUUUAAAAUAAUAAAUUAAUUAAAAAAUGCAUUCAAUUAAUUAUUA